rnacentral:rRNA from 1 species
GACGAACGCUGGCGGCGUGCUUAACACAUGCAAGUCGAACGGAAAGGCGCUGCUCUUGCGGGGUGCUCGAGUGGCGAACGGGUGAGUAUCACGUGUGUAUCCUGCACCUGUCUUUGGGAUAUCUUCAGGAAACUGCGGCUAAUACCGGAUAGGAUCUUCUGCUGCACGGUGGGGGUUGGAAAGUUUCGGCGGUUGGGGAUGGACUCGCGGCUUAUCAGCUUGUUUGUGUGGUAGUGGCUUACCACGGCUACGACGGGUAGCCGGCCUGGGAGGUUGACCGGCCACAUUGGUCCUGAGAUACGGACCAGACUCCUACGGGACGCAGCAGUGGGGAAUAUUACACAAUGGCCGGAAGCCUGAUGCAGCAACGCCGCGUGCGGGAUGACGGCCUUCGGGUUGUAAACCGCUUUCGCCUGUGCCGAAGCGUGAGUGACGGUACUGGGUAAAGAAGCACCGGCUAACUACGUG